rnacentral:tRNA from 1 species
ACUCAGCUGGCUCAGUUGGUAGAGCACGUGACUUUUAACUUCAGGAUCGUGAAUUCAAGCUCCAUGUUGGGCA